AACGAACGCUGGCGGCAUGCCUAACACAUGCAAGUCGAACGAAACCUUCGGGUCUAGUGGCGCACGGGUGCGUAACGCGUGGGAACCUGCCCUUAGGUUCGGCAUAACUCCCCGAAAGGGGUGCUAAUACCGGAUAAUGUCUUCGGACCAAAGAUUUAUCGCCUUUGGAUGGGCCCGCGUUGGAUUAGCUAGUUGGUAGGGUAAAAGCCUACCAAGGCGACGAUCCAUAGCUGGUCUGAGAGGAUGAUCAGCCACACUGGGACUGAGACACGGCCCAGACUCCUACGGGAGGCAGCAGUGGGGAAUAUUGGACAAUGGGCGAAGGCCUGAUCCAGCAAUGCCGCGUGAGUGAUGAAGGCCUUAGGGUUGUAAAGCUCUUUUACCCGGGAUGAUAAUGACAGUACCGGGAGAAUAAGCUCCGGCUAACUCCGUG
rnacentral:rRNA from 1 species